CCCUUAGAUGUUCUGGGCCGCACGCGUGCUACACUGAUGCAUUCAACGAGUCUAAAACCUGGUCUGAUAGGGCUGGGUAAUCUUUUGAAAGUGCAUCGUGAUUGGGAUAGAUGAUUGCAAUUCUUCAUCUUCAACGAGGAAUGCCUAGUAAACGCAAGUCAUCAGCUUGCAUUGAUUACGUCCCUGCCCUUUGUACACACCGCCCGUCGCUCCUACCGAUUGAAUGAUCCGAUGAAUACCAUGGAUUGAGAGUACGAAUAGGUUCGCUUAUUUCUGCUUCUCGAGAAGUGAAGUAAAUCUUAUCAUUUAGAGGAAGGAGAAGUCGUAACA
rnacentral:rRNA from 1 species